rnacentral:rRNA from 1 species
CCUACGGGUGGCAGCAGUCGAGAAUCAUUCACAAUGGGGGAAACCCUGAUGGUGCGACGCCGCGUGGGGGAAUGAAGGUCUUCGGAUUGUAAACCUCUGUCAUGUGGGAGCAAAUUAUAAAGAUAGUACCACAAGAGGAAGAGCCGGCUAACUCUGUGCCAGCAGCCGCGGUACUACAGAGGUCUCAAGCGUUGUUCGGAAGCACUGGGCGUAAAGCGUGCGGAGGCGGUUUGGUAAGUCGUGUGUGAAAGGCGGGGGCUCAAACCGGGGAAGGCACAUGAUACUGGGAGGAUGGAGGAAAGGAGGGGGAAGCGGAAUUCGCGGUGUAGCAGUGAAAUGCGUAGAUAUCGCGAGGAACACUGGUGGCGAAGGCGGGUUCCUGGACAUUAACUGACGCUGAGGCACGAAGGCCAGGGGAGCGAAAGGGAUUAGAUACCCUGGUAGUC